rnacentral:rRNA from 1 species
AUUGAACGCUGGCGGCAGGCCUAACACAUGCAAGUCGAGCGGAUGAAGGGAGCUUGCUCCUGGAUUCAGCGGCGGACGGGUGAGUAAUGCCUAGGAAUCUGCCUGGUAGUGGGGGAUAACGUCCGGAAACGGGCGCUAAUACCGCAUACGUCCUGAGGGAGAAAGUGGGGGAUCUUCGGACCUCACGCUAUCAGAUGAGCCUAGGUCGGAUUAGCUAGUUGGCGGGGUAAAGGCCUACCAAGGCGACGAUCCGUAACUGGUCUGAGAGGAUGAUCAGUCACACUGGAACUGAGACACGGUCCAGACUCCUACGGGAGGCAGCAGUGGGGAAUAUUGGACAAUGGGCGAAAGCCUGAUCCAGCCAUGCCGCGUGUGUGAAGAAGGUCUUCGGAUUGCAAAGCACUUUAAGUUGGGAGGAAGGGCAGUAAGUUAAUACCUUGCUGUUUUGACGUUACCAACAGAAUAAGCACCGGCUAACUUCGUG